UCUUUUCAGAGUCAUGAAAUGCAACCUUCUAAUCGAGGAAAUAAGAUAAUAUGAAGUAUCAAACAAUGGACGUCAUUUCUCGAUUUGAACAUUUUUCAUGGAGAUCUUUAUAAAAUGGUGUCAUGAGUAAUACUUUUGAGUACUAUUGUUAUGUGACAAGUUUUUCUUUUGGAUUAUGGUGUGGGCUAUUAGUUUGCUAAAA